rnacentral:tRNA from 13 species
AUAGUUUAGCGGUCUAAACUUGUGCUUGUCAGCCUGAGAGCGUGGGUUCGAUUCCCAC